UCUUCACACUUAGUCAUAGUCAUUCAACAGCUGCAUAUGAUGCAACAGCAAAACAAGCAUUAGCAGGAUGCUAUAGGCUGGGUAAAAUAAAUAGAAUAUGUUUAGUGCAAUAUGUAGAAAAAAGAUAGUGAAGACAUCAAUAUUUUUGAAGUUAAAAAAUUUAUCACUUUGUUAACUUGGGAGAGAUGAUAUCUUGUCCUUAAAAGAUACAAGUUGCCAGUACAUACGGACUGGGGAGUCUUUCCAGAUGAACUGAUAAUGCCUCCACAAGGAAGUCUGCAUCAAGGACUUCUGUCAACACCCCUCUCAUGGUGAAUGCUAUCCUGUCCAAGAGUUUUCUGGUUCAGCUGUACCCUACUCCAAGGAUCCCAAUGCAUUGCUGCAGUUGUUCAUUAUCCCUUGUGUGGCCACCCUGGAGAUGUAUAAAAACAAAUGUUGAGAUUUGUUAUAUAGAGGUGUUUAUAAAACCUUACUUUAAGAAAGUCCAUUUGAUAAUGUCUAUGCUCACAUGACUACAUGUAGUGUUGCUUUUAACUAAUUAAUUUGCUUGCUGCAUGAUGCCAAAUCUCUUCCAAGGAUGGGCUAGCCAUGUGCUAGCAAAUAGCUUCUACCGUGUUGCAGUUAGUCUGAUGAGAGGUUGAGUAGGCCUACACUACACCUGUGACUUCAGUUGAUACAUGGCCCUUUAGAGACCCCUAGAAAAGUCAAGUUACAGCCAGGCAACAGAGAGGGUAUCAAGUCACAGAGGUAGCUUAAAUUUUGUUCUGAUAACAAGCAUAUCUGGAGAAGAAAACUACAAAGCAGGGGAAGUUCUUCUUAAGCAGCUUAAGUACUGUAGUGGCUACUACCCUUGGAUGAUGUAUUGUAAUGGUGACAACGAUGCAUUGACUUGGGUAUGGUAAGCUACUGGGAUACACAUACUGAAAUAGGAUUGUCAUAGGAUUAAACUGCUUGUCUAGCAGGAGAAAGAUGGGUCCCUUUUUUUUUUGUUUGUUUUGUUUUUUUUUCCUUAAGCCACCCCAGGAAAGACAGGGCUUUCUGAAGUGUAUGCCAAUGUGUGUUGAGUUUUCGCCCAUGAUAUUAUUUUAGCAUAGGAACAGGAAAUAUGGACAAGUCAUCCAGAGAGUAAUUAUGCCAAAGAGUUAAUGAAAAAUAGCACUGAAUUAUUUUAAUUACUAAAUAAAAAUAACAAUAAAGUACGUUCCAUUGCAGGAAUAAAGCUCUAUUAGUUUGGGUCAGAGCAGUGUUACACUAAUGCUGCAAACUUUUGAAAGUAUUGUCUGGAAGUGGUGUUCCACCUUGCAUAUACAAAUAUUUAACACUGAUAGUCUCAACAUUUGUUAACAACAACAAAAACAUUCACAAUUCAGUUUGCAUUCUAUUUAUAGUGUUAUAUCAGGGUAGCAUUAUCAAACAAACCUCUAAGACAAAAAUGAGUUAAAUAAUUAUUCAACAUAUUUUGCUAAUAACAA